rnacentral:rRNA from 1 species
UACGUAUGUCGCAAGCGUUAUUCGGAAUCACUGGGCGUAAAGAGUUCGUAGGCGGAUUCGUAAGUCAGAAGUGAAAUUUUGGGGCUCAACCCCGAAACUGCUUUUGAAACUGCGUGUCUUGAGUAUGUGAGAGGAAGAUGGAAUUCCUGGUGUAGCGGUGGAAUGCGUAGAUAUCAGGAAGAACACCGAUGGCGAAGGCAGUCUUCUGGCACAAUACUGACGCUGAGGAACGAAAGCGUGGGGAGCGAACAGG